CAACAGUUGGAAACGACUGCUAAUACCGCAUGAUGCAUAAGGGUCGCAUGAUCUUUAUGCCAAAGAUUUAUCGCUUCAAGAUGGCCUCGCGUCUGAUUAGCUAGUUGGCGGGGUAACGGCCCACCAAGGCGACGAUCAGUAGCCGGACUGAGAGGUUGAACGGCCACAUUGGGACUGAGAUACGGCCCAGACUCCUACGGGAGGCAGCAGUGGGGAAUAUUGGGCAAUGGGCGCAAGCCUGACCCAGCAACGCCGCGUGAAGGAAGAAGGCUUUCGGGUUGUAAACUUCUCUUAAGAGGGAAGAGCAGAAGACGGUACCUCUAGAAUAAGCCACGGCUAACUACGUGCCAGCAGCCGCGGUAAUACGUAGGUGGCAAGCGUUGUCCGGAUUUACUGGGUGUAAAGGGCGUGCAGCCGGGUCUGCAAGUCAGAUGUGAAAUCCAUGGGCUCAACCCAUGAACUGCAUUUGAAACUGUAGAUCUUGAGUGUCGGAGGGGCAAUCGGAAUUCCUAGUGUAGCGGUGAAAUGCGUAGAUAUUAGGAGGAACACCAGUGGCGAAGGCGGAUUGCUGGACGAUAACUGACGGUGAGGCGCGAAAGUGUGGGGAGCAAACAGGAUUAGAUACCCUGAUAGUCCACACUGUAAACGAUGAAUACUAGGUGUGCGGGGACUGACCCC
rnacentral:rRNA from 1 species